rnacentral:sRNA from 1 species
CAUUUUAAAACAGCAGAGUUUGUGAAAGGCAGCAGAAUCCUGCUCCCCAUGCUUGCCCUCGGGACCCUCACUGGAGCAGAACCAUUGCUCAGAGCGUGAGAAGGAGAAGCGAGUGUCCGUCAACAUGCUGGCUCUGGGUGAGACCUCGAUGUUCCUGGUCCGCCGGGACAGCAGCUCGAAGCAGCUGGUGCUCUGUGUCCACUUUCCUUCUCUGAACGAAAGCUCGGCCGAGGUGCUCGAAUACACCAUUAAGGAAGAAAAGUCGAUAUUGUACCUGGAAGGCUCGGCUCUUGUGUUUGAGGACAUCUUCAGACUGAUUGCAUUCUACUGUGUCAGUAGAGACUUACUGCCCUUCACACUGCGGCUACCCCAGGCCAUCCUUGAGGCCAGCAGCUUCACGGACCUUGAGACCAUCGCCAACCUGGGUCUGGGUUUCUGGGACUCCUCGCUGAAUCCUCCACAAGAAAGAGGGAAGCCAGCAGAGCCCCCAAGAGACCGGGCCCCCGGAUUCCCCCUAGUCUCCAGCCUCAGGCCCACAGCCCAUGACGCAAACUGUGCCUGUGAAAUCGAGCUGUCGGUAGGAAAUGACCGCCUGUGGUUUGUGAAUCCUAUUUUCAUCGAGGACUGCAGCAGCACCCUGCCCACCGACCAGCCACCUCUUGGAAAUUGCCCUGCACGCCCUUUGCCGCCCACCUCUGAUGCUACCUCACCCACCUCCAGGUGGGCCCCACGCCGCCCACCACCCCCUCCCCCAGUGCUGCCCCUGCAGCCCUGCAGCCCAGCCCAGCCCCCUCUGCUCCCUGCUCUUGCCCCCGCCCCUGCCUGUCCUUUGCCCACCUCUCCCCCAGUGCCUGCCCCCCACGUCACACCCCAUGCCCCAGGUCCCCCAGACCAUCCGAACCAGCCGCCCAUGACGACCUGCGAGAGACUCCCAUGCCCCACUGCAGGCCUGGGCCCCCUCAGGGAGGAAGCGAUGAAGCCAGGGGCAGCCUCCAGUCCCUUGCAGCAGGCCCCCGCCCCGCCACUGCCUGCGAAGAAGAACCUUCCCACUGCCCCUCCCAGACGCCGCGUUUCCGAGAGGGUGUCCUUAGAAGACCAAAGUCCAGGGAUGGCGGCAGAGGGGGACCAGCUCAGCCUGCCUCCCCAAGGGACCUCAGACGGCCCUGAGGACACACCCCGGGAGAGCACGGAGCAAGGCCAGGACACAGAGGUGAAAGCCAGCGAUCCCGACAGCAUGCCGGAGCUGCCCAGGACGGCCAAACAACCCCCAGUCCCGCCCCCCAGGAAAAAACGGAUCUCUCGACAACUGGCCUCGACCCUCCCAGCUCCCUUAGAGAACGCUGAGCUCUGCACACAGACUUUGGCCUUGGAGACACCCACGCCGGGUCCACCCAGAGAGGGCCAAAGCCCUGCUUCUCAGGCUGGGAAUCAGCACCCUCCUGCCCAGGCCACUGCCCAUUCCCAGAGCUCUCCAGAGUUCAAGGGCUCCCUGGCCUCCCUCUCAGACAGCUUGGGGGUGUCUGUCAUGGCCACCGACCAGGACUCCUACUCCACCAGCAGCACGGAGGAGGAGCUGGAGCAGUUCAGCAGCCCCAGCGUGAAGAAGAAGCCCUCCAUGAUCCUGGGCAAGGCUCGGCACCGGCUGAGCUUCGCCAGUUUCAGCAGCAUGUUCCACGCUUUCCUCUCCAACAACCGCAAGCUGUACAAGAAGGUGGUGGAGCUGGCGCAGGACAAGGCCUCGUACUUUGGCAGCCUGGUGCAGGACUACAAGGUGUACAGCCUGGAGAUGAUGGCGCGCCAGACCUCCAGCACGGAGAUGCUGCAGGAGAUUCGCACCAUGAUGACCCAGCUCAAGAGCUACCUGCUGCAGAGCACCGAGCUCAAGGCCCUGGUGGACCCUGCCCUGCACUCCGAGGAGGAGCUCGAAGCAAUUGUAGAGUCUGCCUUGUACAAAUGUGUCCUGAAGCCCCUGAAGGAAGCCAUCAACUCAUGCCUGCAUGAGAUCCACAGCAAGGAUGGUUCGCUGCAGCAGCUCAAGGAGAACCAGUUAGUGAUCCUGGCCACCACCACCACUGACCUAGGUGUGACCACCAGCGUGCCGGAGGUGCCCAUGAUGGAGAAGAUCCUGCAGAAGUUCACCAGCAUGCACAAGGCCUACUCACCUGAGAAGAAGAUCUCCAUCCUGCUCAAGACCUGCAAACUCAUCUACGACUCCAUGGCCCUCGGCAACCCAGGGAAGCCCUAUGGGGCGGAUGACUUCCUGCCUGUGCUCAUGUAUGUGCUGGCCCGCAGCAACCUCACGGAGAUGCUUCUCGAUGUGGAGUACAUGAUGGAGCUCAUGGACCCCGCCCUGCAGCUGGGGGAGGGUUCCUACUAUCUGACCACCACCUACGGGGCCCUGGAGCACAUCAAGAGCUAUGACAAGAUCACGGUGACCCGGCAGCUGAGUGUGGAGGUGCAGGACUCCAUCCACCGCUGGGAGCGCCGGCGUACGCUCAACAAGGCCCGGGCCUCCCGCUCCUCCGUACAGGACUUCAUCUGCGUGUCCUACCUGGAGCCCGAGCAGCAGGCGCGGACACUGGCGUCGCGGGCGGACACCCAGGCCCAGGCGCUGUGCGCGCAGUGCGCGGAGAAGUUCGCGGUGGAGAGGCCGCAGGCGCACCGGCUGUUCGUGCUGGUGGACGGGCGCUGCUUCCAGCUGGCGGACGACGCGCUGCCGCACCGCAUCAAGGGCUACCUGCUGCGCAUCGAGCCCAAGCGCGACUUCCACUUCGUCUACCGGCCCCUGGACGGUGGCGGCGGCGGCGGGAGCCCACCCUGCCUGGUGGUGCGGGAGCCCAACUUCCUGUGAGGCCCUCCCGGGGCGCCUCCCCUCACCCCCAGGCGCACAUCUGGCCCCGCCUCUGGCUGCGCACUCCCGACCGCGACGUCCGCGCAGCAGAGGGACAUGGGCCAUUCCAUGACGUGCCCAGGCCACCGUCGCAGGACAGUUGUGAAAUAACAUGACGCUCGUCCAAGGCCACUUCCUGAGGGCAAGUCCUAAUAGCACUGAGACACCGAGACGGCAUGUUCUUCAUUAGACGGAAAGGGAAACUGAGGCUCAGAGAGGAGAGAGGCGCUCCAGGCCGCUGCAGCCAACAAACCGGCACCCUCUUCACACGUAGCUCCUCAGGCCAUUCCCCAUGAGUCCCCCACACCCACCCCAUCCUCGGUCUUUGCAAAGAAGGGCCCGAGCUUAGUUUCCCCAGGACUGGCCGAGGAAGGAGCACCGGCCACAGCUCCUCCCCGUGCCACUCAGGGUGGACCCAGCAUCUCAGGAGCACCUCAGGGUGUGGGUUAAGAGACAGGCCUCCACCCCUGCACCAGAGCCUGCUCUUAGCUCCCGGUGCCCCCAGACCCCGCAGCUCUGUGCCCGGCAAGAAGCAGCUAGAUACACGCCAGGGCGCCAAGCAGGGCCAGCUCCACGGACCCAUGGACAAGCCCAGCCCCGCCUCAGGGAAAACAGGGCCUUUUCCUACAGGACACGCCCCAGAGCUGUGGCAGAUUGCAGGAGCCAUCGUGUGGGGAUAAUUUAAUAAAAGCCCUUUUG